AGAGAGAGACAUGCGCGCAUAUCAAUAAGCGGAGGAAAAGAAACUAACAAGGAUUCCCUUAGUAACGGCGAGUGAAGCGGGAAGAGCUCAAAUUUGAAAUCUUCAAGGUUUUACCUUGACGAAUUGUAGUUUAAAGAAGUGUUUUCUGCUGAAGUUUUGGUAAAAGUUCUUUGGAAUAGGACAUCAUAGAGGGUGAGAAUCCCGUAUUUGACCAUUAUUUUCAGCUUUGUGAUACACUUUCAAAGAGUCGGAUUGUUUGGGAAUGCAGUCCAAAAUGGGUGGUAAAUUUCAUCUAAAGCUAAAUAUUGGCGAGAGACCGAUAGCGAACAAGUACCGUGAGGGAAAGAUGAAAAGAACUUUGAAAAGAGAGUUAAACAGUACGUGAAAUUGUCAAAAGGGAAGCGUUUGACACCAGUGUUGUUUUCUCGAAAAUCAAUUAAAAAUGGCUCGAUUUUGUAUUGCUUGAGACCUUAAAAGCUCACUGUACAUUUUUCGUGUCCUUUUUUAAUGCACUUUUCGUUUAACAAGUCAACAUCAGUUUCUUUUGUUGUAAAAGGGUCAUUGGAAGGUGGCUUUCUUUUCGGAGAAAGUGUUUAUAGCCUUUGGCCUCUGCAAUCGGAGAGACUGAGGUCUGCAGCGUAGACUCUUCGGGGUUAGAUACAUUUGUGCUAAGUUAUAGCUUUUUAUAGACAGCUUGUUGACUAUAAUUAGUCUUGUAGCUUACUCGCUUAUGCUAUUUUACCUACGCUUAGGAUGUUGAAGAUGUAGCACAUCAU
rnacentral:rRNA from 1 species